UCGAGAAUUUUUCUCAAUGGGGGCAACCCUGAAGGAGCGACGCCGCGUGGAGGAUGAAGGUUUUCGGAUUGUAAACUCCUGUCAUUGGUGAACAAGGCCUGCGGUUAACUGCCGUUGGGUUUGAUAGUAGCCGAAGAGGAAGGGACGGCUAACUCUGUGCCAGCAGCCGCGGUAAUACAGAGGUCCCGAGCGUUGUUCGGAUUCAUUGGGCGUAAAGGGUGCGUAGGCGGCGAGGUAAGUCUGAUGUGAAAUCCCGGGGCUCAACCCUGGAACUGCAUUGGAUACUGCCUUGCUUGAGAACUGGAGAGGAGACUGGAAUUUACGGUGUAGCAGUGAAAUGCGUAGAGAUCGUAAGGAAGACCAGUGGCGAAGGCGAGUCUCUGGACAGAUUCUGACGCUGAGGCACGAAGGCCAGGGGAGCAAACGG
rnacentral:rRNA from 1 species